UACGAAGGGGGCGAGCGUUGUUCGGAUUUACUGGGCGUAAAGGGCGCGCAGGCGGCAUCUCAAGUCAGGCGUGAAAGCCCCGGGCUUAACCUGGGAACUGCGUCUGGGACUGAGAGGCUAGAGUUCGGGAGAGGAGAGUGGAAUUCCCAGUGUAGAGGUGAAAUUCGUAGAUAUUGGGAAGAACACCGGUGGCGAAGGCGGCUCUCUGGACCGAGACUGACGCUGAGGCGCGAAAAGCGUGGGGAGCAAACAGG
rnacentral:rRNA from 1 species